UGCGUGUCUCGCGCUGCUGCCCGCUUCCCGCCAUCUGCCUCCUCCUCCCCCCCCCCGGUCUCCCUGAGGAGCGAGCGCCGGCGGGGCCGCGGCAGACAGCGAGCGGCAGGGAGCGAGCUGGGCCGGGUUUCAAGGUGAAGUAAAUUUAGUUAAUCUGUUAUAAGUUAUUUAUUUGUAAGAAAAAUGGCUCCACUGAAGGUGCAUGGACCUGUCCGGAUGCGCAGUAUUCAAACUGGGAUUACAAAAUGGAAAGAAGGAAGCUUUGAAAUUGUGGAGAAGGACAACAAAGUGAGUCUAGUGGUUCACUACAAUGUUGGAGGAAUUCCAAAGACAUUUCAGCUAAGCCAUAACAUUAAAACUGUGGUCCUACGACCAAAUGGUGGAAAAUUGUGUUGCCUGAUGCUAACGCUAAAGGAUGCCAGCUUCCUGACUAUUGAUAAGGUACCAUCUAAGGAUGCAAACGAAAUGAGGAUGUAUCUGGAUGCAGUCCUCCAUGACAGGGUUCAUACUGCUGUGAAACCGUCUCAGGGAUCUGGCAGCUUUGGAGGUGUUCUGGGCAGCAGGACAACCCAGAAGGAAGCUAACAGGCAAUUUCCAUAUAUUGAAAACCAGGUUCCUUCCAAAAGAGUGACUGUGGAGGGAAAGGAAGAAAAUCCAUUUCGGAAGGGGCUGGGCAGCCCAAGUAGAGCAUCUGUUAAGACUUCCCCAGGAAGUGGAACUCCUAGCAACAGGGUUAACAUUUCAGUGUCUCCCACUUCAUCAACUCCUCACAGAACGGGCUUACUAGAAAACCGUGAAAAGAGGAAAAGAACACAGCCCUCUGGUUCAGAGAUGAAUGAAGAUUAUCCCAAAGAGAAUGAUUCUUCAACCAAUAACAAAGCUGUGACUGAUCCGGCAUGGAAGUUUUUAAAUAGUAGCAGAGAGAAACAGCUGAAUCUGAAACAGACAGAGGAGAACAGGACAUCAGGGGUUUUGCCUCUACAAUCAUCCUCCUUUUAUGGUAGCAGGUCCACAUCAAAGGACUACUCCACUGGCAAUUCCAACCUGGACAGGUCUAGCAUAUCAAGUCAGACACCCUCAGCCAAAAGAAGCCUGGGGUUUCUCUCUCAGCCAGCCCCACUCUCUGUUAAAAAAAUGAGAUCUAAUCAAGACUACACAGGAUGGAACAAACCUCGAGUGCCCCUUUCCAGCCACCCACAGCAACAGCUACAAGGAUUUUCAAACUUGGGAAAUACCUGCUACAUGAAUGCCAUUUUACAGUCCUUGUUUUCAAUUCAGUCGUUUGCUAAUGAUUUGCUUAAGCAGGGUAUCCCUUGGAAAAAAAUUCCACUCAAUGCACUUAUCAGACGCUUUGCCCAUCUGCUUGCUAAAAAGGAUGUUUGCAGCCCUGAGGUCAAAAAAGAGCUGCUCAAGAAAGUGAAAAGUGCCAUUUCAGCUACUGCAGAGAGAUUCUCGGGUUACAUGCAGAAUGAUGCACACGAGUUUUUGAGCCAGUGUUUGGAUCAGCUGAAGGAGGACAUGGAAAAGUUAAACAAAACUUGGAAGAGUGAGCCAGUGUCUGGUGAAGAUAACUCGCCAGGACGGGCCUCUGAGGACAUCUCAGCCACGAAAGUUUACACUUGUCCAGUUAUCACUAAUUUAGAGUUCGAGGUUCAACAUUCUAUCAUAUGUAAAAUGUGUGGUGAAACAGUCACUAAACGAGAACAGUUUAAUGAUCUUUCCAUUGAUCUUCCCCGAAGAAAGAAAUUACUUCCUUCGCGAUCCAUCCAGGAUUCCCUUGAUCUCUUUUUCAGGGCAGAGGAGAUUGAGUAUUCCUGUGAGAAGUGUAAUGGAAAGUCUGCUGUUGUUACACACAAAUUCAAUAGGCUCCCCAGGGUCCUGAUUCUUCAUCUGAAACGAUACAGCUUCAAUGUGGCACUGUCUCUGAAUCACAAAGUUGGGCAGCAGGUGGUUAUACCAAGAUAUUUGACCCUGUUAUCUCACUGUACAGAAAGCACUCGGCCCCCGCUUACUCUGGGAUGGAGUGCGCAUUCUGCAGUUUCUCGACCAUUGAAAGCCUCCCAAAUGGUGAAUUCCUGUACUGUGAGCACUUCCACACCUUGUAGAAAGUAUACAUUCAAAUCAAAGAGCUCCGUGGCACUCUAUGUGGAUUCAGAUAGUGAGGAUGAGCCAUUGAAACGCUCUGUUGCUCACAGUCAAAGAUUGUGUGAUGUACAGAGCAGAGAACAACAGCAACAGCAAGAAGAACCUGAAAAGGGUUCAAAACGAAGUAAACCAGAGUGUGAUAAAUCUUCUGACUUGGGAAAUGCGGGUUUCGAUGGAAUGAGCGAGGAUGAGUUGCUAGCAGCUGUGUUAGAGAUUAGCAAGAGGGAAGCCUCAUUCUCUGUGAGCCAUGAUGAAGAUAAACCUACAAGCAGCCCCGACACUGGUUUUGGAGAGGACGAGGUGCAGGAAUUGCCAGAAAAUCUGCAGUGUGUAGAGACGGAGAAACCCAAAGCAACUACAGAAUCAGGCCCUGCCAAUUUCACUGAGAUAACUAAAGAUUUUGAUGAGAAUAAGGAAAACAAAACUCCGGAAGGCUCCCAGGGGGAGGUUGACUGGCUGCAGCAGUACGAUAUGGAGCGAGAGCGGGAGGAACAAGAACUUCAGCAGGCACUGGCUCAGAGCCUCCAAGAACAAGAGGCACGAGAACAAAAAGAAGAUGAUGACCUUAAACGAGCUACCGAAUUAAGUCUACAAGAAUUUAACAGCUCUCUUCUGGACAGCGUUGGCUCUGAUGAGGACUCUGGGACUGAGGAUGUUCUCGACAUGGAGUACUCAGAAGCUGAAGCUGAAGAGCUGAAAAGGAACGCUGAGGUAGGAGAGCUCCCUCAUUCUUAUCGUCUCGUCAGCAUUGUCAGCCAUAUUGGAAGCACAUCCUCUUCAGGCCACUAUAUUAGUGAUGUCUAUGAUAUCAAGAAACAGUCCUGGUUCACCUACAAUGACCUAGAAGUGUCUAGAACGCUAGAGGCCUCUGUGCAGUGUGAUAGAGACCGAAGUGGCUAUAUCUUCUUUUACAUGCACAAGGAAAUCUUCGAUGAGUUACUAGAAACAGAAAAGAACACACAGCCGCUUAGCAUGGAAGUGGGGCGGUCUGUUCGUCAGCCUCUGUGAAGAGCAAAUCCCUUGUUUCUCCCAAGCAUGGAGAAUUCUGAACUUGCGCAAGACAUGCAGGAGUAGCAAACAGCUCAGGGCCAAAACGAGAGACAAAAAGUAAGGCGUAUGGGAUGCUUAACUUGCAGAACCACGCAUGUAAACCUUGGCCUGAACCACACUGGUAAACCUUUGACAUCCCAAAGCACUCCUCCUGUGGUGAGAUUUUUAUUGUUCCAGAAAUAUUUCUGUCAGCAUGGAGCCUUAAAGUGUUACAUCAAGCCACAAGACCACAGCUGCUCAUAAACUGAUGAAACAAUAGUGCAAAAAGAGACUUGACUUUAAAGUCCAUUAACUAUGAUAUGUGAACGGGGAAGAUUUACAUAUCACGUGGCAUUCUGUUUUUUCCCCCCACGAGCAAUUAAAGCAAUACAGCCUGCAACCUGGCAUGUAUCGUGUCAGUAAUAGUCACUGGAAACCUAGAUCACCAAGUACGCUGUUGCCCGUCUGUCCUGCUAACAGGUGUGCCGACAUCACUCAAGUGGACGCAUUUUGACAUUCAUGAGGUUGUAAAUGCUGUGCCAUUUACAUGCAGUUCCAGGAAACAAACUAUUGAUGCUGUGGAAUGUAUUGCCUACCUACUCACACUCUGUCAUCGUAUACAGUUCUUUGUUGUCUUUGUUUAGAAAUGAGAUUAUAUUUUUUUCAUUUAAAAAGUUGAUUCUUUCUGACUGCAUUUUCUUCACAGUGUCAUUGCAUAUGGCAGUUUACAUCUUCCUGUCAGUGUAUCUGUUUCUCACUGACUUUACAGCACGUUGAGCUGCCUUGUUUUGACUCUGACAGCAGCAGCUAGUCAGUGGGAUGGAAGGUAAGCUUUGGCCUGUUGGGAGGGGAGCAGAGCCAGUGUGAGCAGUAAAAGGAAGUGAACUACAACUCUUCUUUUUGCAUCGCACACUGGCAUUAGCCCUUCAGGGUGCUCAGGCAUAAAGGUUUGUCUCUGGCAUCCUCACGUGGAAAGUCUGAACAAUUCUUUUUGCACUUGGAUUGCUGUUAGACUGAUCCAUAAUUUCACAUUGUCCCUACAGAUCCCAGGAAUAGCACAGAGACAUCGAGGUUUUUAUUCUAGCUGUCUGUUGGUUUUUUAGGAAUAUGGGCUGCUCAGCUGGAAUAAACUAAAUCAGCUGAGAAGCUUUUGAAGACCUGUACUGAGUGUUACCAUAAGAGAUUACAGGGCAGAACUGUUCCAUUUUAUUAUCCUAAUUGUACCUGGUAACAUGACGCUCAUUUUAUAGCUGACUUUGGCAAAAAUAUCCAGUGAUUGAAUUUUUAUUUGAACCUUCAAAUGGUCUUUUAUUUAAUAUGGGCAAAUAUUUCCCUUAAUUGGCAUUUACUUUUAUUGCAAAGAAAUUGUUGCUAAUCAUUGGAGCAGUUACUCUUCUGCCCCUAAUUUGGAUUUUGCUAUUUGAAUAAUUGGUUACAGAGAAUGCAAAGAUAUUUGUUUUUAAACUACCGUUAGGAGUUUCUCAGGAAUAAACCACCCAGAGCUAAGUAGACAAACCGUUGCUGUAGAGGACAGGAGGCAAAAUAAUUUCUCCACAGAUCUUAGAGUUAAGGCUGAUCUUCUGGUCCGUGUACCAAGCGAAUCGAAAUGAUUUUUGUUACGGCUUGGAUAAUAUCGUCUUGGUUGUGUUGGUCUCCUAGUAAACGGCCUAAGCAUUAAACUUCGGUCACAAAUGGGACAAAGCUUUUACCUCAUAAGGUGCAGCACCAGUAGUGUAUGACAUGUUAAUUUAUUAUAAAUCAUUAUGAUUUUGUAUUGUCAACAGUGAAUGUUAGUGGAAUGUGUGUGUGUCGGGGGGGGGGGGGGGGUUAAUGUAGGAAUUUUCUUUUACUGAAAAGGGCACAUACCUGUGAAAAUGUGGCAAAGAUCUCUUCCAUCAUAAAGGCAAAGCUAUCUUCCUCAGCUGAACCAGCCUCCCCAUUUUCCCUACAUGCUGAAAGCAGCACACAUGGCGCUUAAAAUAACAAAUGUACUUAUAAUAUCAGCGAGUUAGCACUGCUGAUUGCUUGGUGGGGAGCAAAUUAUCGGGUUGAGGCACAGUACUCCAAAUCAGGUCAUUGCUAAUAAAAUCCAAGAUUGCCCAAUUUUAGUUGUUACCCUAAUUUAUGUAUAAAACCAUUUUUGAGGUAGAUCCGGAGUUGAGAGAGCUGACGCUUAAAACCAGAUUUCAUGGACCCUCUAGUGAAAACCAGGUUCUCAUAGCUAGAAACAACUAGUGAACAUAUGUGUUUUUCACUUUUUUUGGCAUAUGGCAACUUGCCUGGCCCUAUGAACCUUUUCCUGAACAGAACUGGUUGUCAGUCCAACACUGUGCACCCCACAUCCCCCGUCUAAAGAUGGAUUUUUUCUCUCCGCUCCAGGGUGACAAUGAGGAAGGAAAUCUGUAACUUGUCAAGGGGUGUAUGUAUAAGUAUAUACUUUGGGGGUUUUGCACAGCAUAGCUAGUUCAUUCAGAAUCAGGGGCAGUAUGUGUUCCCAGUGUUCUGUGUUAUACCUAAUUCACUUUCACAUUCAAUACUACUUGUAUUUUUGCAAUAACUUUGAAAUUCAGUAGAGCUGAGCUCUGUGCAAUCUUCACAACCAUAUUGGAUUAUAUGUAGGACAGACACAAACCAAAUAAAAGCCAGCACAUGUAGGGAUUUUAGCAUCAGAUAUCUUGGAGAGGAAAUCAUUUAAAUAUCCUACAAACCCUUAAUGCCUUUAUUAAAAUGGCUGUGUUAAUAGUGUUGAGGCCUGCUAGAGAGAGUGGGGCUUUCUGGGAGAUGGUGGAGUGCUGUUGGUAUGAAUUAUGUAUCUUAUUAAUUAGAGAGGGUUCUAUGGAGUGCAUGUUAUAAAACACUCUUUGACAUUUCCUGAAAUAUACGGAGUUGUCGGUUUCAAAAGAAUCCGAGAGCCAGUUUAGUUUGGUCUGAUGGUGCGUCAGCGUAUAAAAAACAAAACACCAAUGUCAUUCUUCCUUCCACCCCCACCCCAUCAUCGGAUGUCUGCUCUGACUUGUUCUUGAUUUACUCCUUCACUGUAUUCGGCUACUUUUUAUGAUAAAUGUAUAAAUGUUUAUGUAAAUGAACUGGAAUUUUUGUCCCAGAUAUUGCGCUGUGACUGAGUCCCACAUAGAGGACUGUUGUACUGGGAUGUGCAAAAGAACAACAAAAACAAAAUGCAGGUACUAGCUUCCUAACUAAAGCUUCAGUCUAUAAUAUGAGGACUUAAUAAUUGGGAGAAGAGCAUUUUGAUGUGUUUAACCUUGGCAGAUUGCCUCCCCAGCCAUGUUUUCAUCCUGGAUUAAAUGGCCUGAUUUGGAGUGUACUCUACUUCCUUUCUGUGUGUGCUGUGUCUGAUGUCCUGGAAGGAUUAGCAUAUGCUGUUUGCACUGCAACCAAUGGGAGAAGCAGUUGAUUAUCCAGUGUUAACAUUUUAUUGAAAUUCACAGAAGGUUUUAGAUGCCCGUGAAGAAUUCUUUGCUUGGGGUUGGAGGGGGGCGGGAAGUUGUGUGUGGCUGGAAAGAACUAACUGGGUCACUUUUUAACUGAUCUAAUCUAAGAUUGUAAUCAACUGCCAAAGAGAGAGAAUAAAAAGGGGUUAUGUAUCCUUUGCACUCUGCUGUCAGUAUUCCCCGUCCCACCAGAGGUCUUACGUGCCUCCUGACUACAGAAUUCUUUGAAGACUGCUGGGGCAGGGGUUCCAGGUGUGUGUGUGUUUGAAAGCAGCUA